rnacentral:rRNA from 1 species
UGGGGAAUCUUCCGCAAUGGGCGAAAGCCUGACGGAGCAAUGCCGCGUGAGUGAAGAAGGUCUUCGGAUCGUAAAGCUCUGUUGAGAGGGACGAGAGAUUACUUCAGGAAAUGGGAGUAAGAGGACGGUACCUUUCGAGGAAGCCACGGCUAACUACGUGCCAGCAGCCGCGGUAAAACGUAGGGUGCAAGCGUUGUCCGGAAUUACUGGGUGUAAAGGGAGCGCAGGCGGGCAUGCAAGUUGGAAGUGAAAAACUAUGGGCUCAACCCAUAGCCUGCUUUCAAAACUGCGUGUCUUGAGUAGUGCAGAGGUAGGCGGAAUUCCCGGUGUAGCGGUGGAAUGCGUAGAUAUCGGGAGGAACACCAGUGGCGAAGGCGGCCUACUGGGCACCAACUGACGCUGAGGCUCGAAAGCAUGGGUA